CGUGACCCCCCACACUGGGACUGAGACACGGCCCAGACUCCUACGGGAGGCAGCAGUGAGGAAUAUUGCGCAAUGAGCGAAAGCUAGACGCAGCAACGCCGCGUGGGUGAAGAAGGCCUUCGGGUCGUAAAACCCUUUUCUGAGGGAAGAGCAAGGACGGUACCUCAGGAAUAAGUCUCGGCUAACUAUGUGCCAGCAGCCGCGGUAAGACAUAGGAGGCGAGCGUUAUCCGGAUUUAUUGGGCGUAAAGUGCGUUGAGGCGGUCUCGUAAGUUGGACGUGAAAGCUCCUGGCUUAACUGGGAGAGGUCGUUCAAUACUGCGAGGCUUGAGGGCAGUAGAGGGGGGUGGAAUUCCCGGUGUAGUGGUGAAAUGCGUAGAUAUCGGGAGGAACACCAGUGGCGAAGGCGGCCCCCUGGACUGUUUCUGACGCUGAAGGCGAAAGCUAGGGUAGCAAACGGGAUUAGAAACCCCGGUAGUCCUAGCCGUAAACGAUGGAUACUAGGUGUGGGAGGUUAAAAAUCCUUCUGUGCCGGAGCAAACGCGUUAAGUAUCCCGCCUGGGGAGUACGGCCGCAAGGCUAAAACUCAAAGGAAUUGACGGGUCUCCGCACAAGCAGCGGAGCGUGUGGUUCAAUUCGAUUAACGCGAAGAACCUUACCAGGGCUUGACAUGCAGGUAGUAGUGAAGCGAAAGCGGAACGAUCCUUAGGGAAGCCUGCACAGGUGCUGCAUGGCUGUCGUCAGCUCGUGCCGUGAGGUGUUCCCUUAAGUGGGGUAACGAGCGCAACCCUUACUGUUAGUUACAAGUGUCUAGCGGAACUGCCCGGUCAAACUGGGAGGAAGGUGGGGAUGACGUCAAGUCAGCAUGGCCUUUAUGUCCUGGGCUACACACACGCUACAAUGGCCGGUACAAUGGGUAGCCAAACCGCGAGGUGGAGCCAAUCCUACAAAGCCGGUCUCAGUUCGAAUUGCAGGCUGCAACUCGCCUGCAUGAAGUUGGAGUUGCUAGUAACCGCAGGUCAGCACACUGCGGUGAAUACGUUCCCGGAGAUUGUACACACCGCCCGUCACGUCAUGGGAGCUGGUAACACCUGAAGCCAGUGGGCUAACCGAAAGGGGGCAGCUGUCGAAGGUGGGACUGGUGACUGGGACGAAGUCGUAACAAGGUAGCUGUAGCGGAAGCUGCGGCUG
rnacentral:rRNA from 1 species